GCCCUUGAAAUCACCAGAUCCACCAACCUGUAACCUCAGAGAGACUCCAAAGCAAAAAGCCCCAAGUGCACAGAAAAAUCCAGAUAAGA
rnacentral:rRNA from 14 species